rnacentral:rRNA from 1 species
ACUGCUCAGUAACACGUGGACAACCUGCCCUUAGGUUGGGUAUAAACCCGGGAAACUGGGUAUAAUACCCGAUAGGUCUCGAUUGCUGGAAUGCAUCGAGAUUUAAAGCUCCGGCGCCUAAGGAUGAGUCUGCGGCCUAUCAGGUAGUAGUGGGUGUAGCGUACCUACUAGCCUACGACGGGUACGGGUUGUGAGAGCAAGAGCCCGGAGAUGGAUUCUGAGACACGAAUCCAGGCCCUACGGGGUGCAGCAGGCGCGAAAACUUUACAAUGCUGGCAACAGCGAUAAGGGAACCUCGAGUGCCAGGUUACAAAUCUGGCUGUCGAGAUGCCUAAAAAGCAUUUCAUAGCAAGGGCCGGGCAAGACCGGUGCCAGCCGCCGCGGUAACACCGGCGGCUCGAGUGGUAACCGUUAUUAUUGGGUCUAAAGGGUCUGUAGCCGGCCGGAUAAGUCUCUUGAGAAAUCUGGCAGCUUAACUGUCAGGCUUUCAGGAGAUACUGUCUGGCUCGAGGCCGGGAGAGGUGAGAGGUACUUCAGGGGUAGGGGUGAAAUCUUGUAAUCCUUGAAGGACCACCAGUGGCGAAGGCGUCUCACCAGAACGGACCUGACGGCAAGGGACGAAAGCUAGGGGCACGAACCGGAUUAGAUACCCGGGUAGUCCUAGCCGUAAACGAUACUCGCUAGGUGUCGGCCACGGUGCGACCGUUGUCGGUGCCGUAGGGAAGCCGUGAAGCGAGCCACCUGGGAAGUACGGCCGCAAGGCUGAAACUUAAAGGAAUUGGCGGGGGAGCACCACAACGGGUGGAGCUUGCGGUUUAAUUGGAUUCAACGCCGGAAAUCUUACCGGGACCGACAGCAAUAUGAAGGCCAGGCUGAAGACUUUGCCGGAUUAGCUGAGAGGUGGUGCAUGGCCGUCGUCAGUUCGUACUGUGAAGCAUCCUGUUAAGUCAGGCAACGAGCGAGACCCGCACC